UAUAAGAGGUCCAGCCUGCCCGGUGACCCUGUUUAACGGCCGCAGUAUCCUAACUGUGCGAAGGUAGCGUAAUCACUUGUUCUUUAAAUGAGGACUAGUAUGAAUGGCAUCACGAAGAUUAUACUGUCUCCUUUUUCUAAUCAGUGAAACUAAUCUCCCCGUGAAGAAGCGGGGAUAAUUAUAUAAGACGAGAAGACCCUAUGGAGCUUUAAACUAAAUCACAUUUGCCUCAUAAUAGCUAAAUUUGAGAAAAAUAUAUGUAAUCUGGCAUUAUGAUGAUAAGUUUUAGGUUGGGGUGACCGCGGAGAAAAAAAUAUCCUCCGCAUUGAAUAAGAUUCUCUUUAGCUAAAAGCUACAUCUUGAAGCAUCAAUAAAUUGACAUUAUUGACCCAAUAAUUUUGAUCAACGGACCAAGUUACCCUAGGGAUAACAGCGCAAUCCAUCUCAAGAGCUCCUAUCGACAGAUGGGUUUACGACCUCGAUGUUGGAUCAGGGUAUCCCAGUGGUGCAGCCGCUACUAAAGGUUCGUUUGUUCAA
rnacentral:rRNA from 1 species